rnacentral:rRNA from 1 species
GAUGUACGCUGGCGGCGUGCCUAAUACAUGCAAGUCGAGCGAACGGACGAGAAGCUUGCUUCUCUGAUGUUAGCGGCGGACGGGUGAGUAACACGUGGAUAACCUACCUAUAAGACUGGGAUAACUUCGGGAAACCGGAGCUAAUACCGGAUAAUAUUUUGAACCGCAUGGUUCAAAAGUGAAAGACGGUCUUGCUGUCACUUAUAGAUGGAUCCGCGCUGCAUUAGCUAGUUGGUAAGGUAACGGCUUACCAAGGCAACGAUGCAUAGCCGACCUGAGAGGGUGAUCGGCCACACUGGAACUGAGACACGGUCCAGACUCCUACGGGAGGCAGCAGUAGGGAAUCUUCCGCAAUGGGCGAAAGCCUGACGGAGCAACGCCGCGUGAGUGAUGAAGGUCUUCGGAUCGUAAAACUCUGUUAUUAGGGAAGAACAUAUGUGUAAGUAACUGUACACAUCUUGACGGUACCUAAUCAGAAAGCCACGGCUAACUACGUG